rnacentral:rRNA from 1 species
ACUACAAUGGCGGUACAAAGGGCAGCGACACAGCGAUGUGAAGCGAAUCCCGAAAAGCCGGUCUCAGUCCGGAUUGGAGCCUGCAACUCGACUCCAUGAAGUUGGAAUCGCUAGUAAUCGCGGAUCAGCACGCCGCGGUGAAUACGUUCCCGGGCCUU